rnacentral:rRNA from 1 species
GAUGAACGCUGGCGGCGUGCCUAAUACAUGCAAGUCGAGCGAACAGACGAGGAGCUUGCUCCUCUGACGUUAGCGGCGGACGGGUGAGUAACACGUGGAUAACCUACCUAUAAGACUGGGAUAACUUCGGGAAACCGGAGCUAAUACCGGAUAAUAUAUUGAACCGCAUGGUUCAAUAGUGAAAGACGGUUUUGCUGUCACUUAUAGAUGGAUCCGCGCCGCAUUAGCUAGUUGGUAAGGUAACGGCUUACCAAGGCAACGAUGCGUAGGCGACCUGAGAGGGUGAUCGGCCACACUGGAACUGAGACACGGUCCAGACUCCUACGGGAGGCAGCAGUAGGGAAUCUUCCGCAAUGGGCGAAAGCUUGACGGAGCAACGCCGCGUGAGUGAUGAAGGUCUUCGGAUCGUAAAACUCUGUUAUUAGGGAAGAACAAAUGUGUAAGUAACUAUGCACGUCUUGACGGUACCUAAUCAGAAAGCCACGGCUAACUACGUG